CACGUAGGGCGCAAGCGUUGUCCGGAAUUAUUGGGCGUAAAGAGCUCGUAGGCGGUCUGUUGCGUCCGCUGUGAAAACCCGCGGCUCAACUGCGGGCCUGCAGCCGAUACGGGCAGGCUAGAGUUCGGUAGGGGAGACUGGAAUUCCUGGUGUAGCGGUGAAAUGCGCAGAUAUCAGGAGGAACACCGGUGGCGAAGGCGGCAUCCUGGACCGACACUGACACUGAGGAGCGAAAGCCAGGGGAGCAAACGGG
rnacentral:rRNA from 1 species